GAGGGAAUCUUAGACAAUGGGCGCAAGCCUGAUCUAGCCAUGCCGCGUGAGUGACGAAGGCCCUAGGGUCGUAAAGCUCUUUCAACGGUGAAGAUAAUGACGGUAGCCGUAGAAGAAACCCCGGCUAACUCCGUGCCAGCAGCCGCGGUAAUACAGAGGGUGCAAGCGUUAUUCGGAAUUACUGGGCGUAAAGCGCGCGUAGGCGGACUGUUAAGUCGGUUGUGAAAGCCCUGGGCUCAACCUGGGAACUGCAUCCGAUACUGGCAAUCUAGAGUUUAAGAGAGGGAAGGGGAAUUCCUAGUGUAGCAGUGAAAUGCGUAGAUAUUAGGAGGAACAUCAGUGGCGAAGGCGCCUUCCUGGCUUAAAACUGACGCUGAGGUGCGAAAGCGUGGGUAGCGAACGGGAUUAGAUACCCCGGUAGUCCACGCCGUAAACGAUGUCAACUAGUUGUGGGGCUUAUUAAAAAGUUUCGUAACGCAGCUAACGCGAUAAGUUGACCGCCUGGGGAGUACGGUCGCAAGAUUA
rnacentral:rRNA from 1 species